CCUACGGGUGGCAGCAGUGAGGAAUAUUGGUCAAUGGACGAGAGUCUGAACCAGCCAAGUAGCGUGAAGGAUGACUGCCCUAUGGGUUGUAAACUUCUUUUAUAUGGGAAUAAAAUGUUCCACGUGUGGGAUUUUGUAUGUACCAUAUGAAUAAGGAUCGGCUAACUCCGUGCCAGCAGCCGCGGUAAUACGGAGGAUCCGCGCGUUAUCCGGAUUUAUUGGUUUUAAAGGGAGCGUAGGUGGAGUGUUAAGUCAGUUGUGAAAGUUUGCGGCUCAACCGUAAAAUUGCAGUUGAAACUGGCAGUCGUGAGUACAGUAGAGGUGGGCGGAAGUCGUGGUGUAGCGGUGAAAUGCUUAGAUAUCACGAAGAACUCCGAUUGCGAAGGCAGCUCACUGGACUGCAACUGACACUGAGGCUCGAAAGUGUGGGUAUCAAACAGGAGUAGAUACCCGGGUAGUC
rnacentral:rRNA from 1 species